rnacentral:rRNA from 1 species
GAUUAACGCUGGCGGCAUGCCUAAUACAUGCAAAUCGAACGAAGCCUUUUGGCUUAGUGGUGAACGGGUGAGUAACACGUAUCCAAUCUACCCUUAAGUUUGGGAUAACUAGUCGAAAGAUUAGCUAAUACCGGAUAAUAACAUUCACUUGCAUGAGUGAAUGUGGAAAGUUGCGUUUGCAACGCUUUUGGAUGAGGGUGCGACGUGUCAGAUAGUUGGUGAGGUAACGGCCCACCAAGGCGACGAUCGGUAGCCGGACUGAGAGGUUGAACGGCCACAUUGGGACUGAGACACGGCCCAG